rnacentral:rRNA from 1 species
AUGGGGAACAUACAAAAGUGGACGGCGUCCAGGGAUGUAAUUCUCUACCUGUGGCACGUUCAGCUGGGUGCUGCCAAUGCAAAGGAUAUUGUUUUGUAUUGGAGUUUUGCUAUAAAACUCCUCCACGGCCCUCUUGGUAAAGCAUCUAACCUAGAUCUUAACCGUCCCCCUUUCUUUCUAUCUUCAUUCAUCUCCUUCUCUCUGUUCCCUACGCCACCGCCGCCGCCGACGCCGAAAUCGCCACCAACUGCCUCCCCCACCCCUCCUUCACCGCUCCCAACUGCGUCCACCGCCACCAUCUGCGGCCACUGCCCCAAGCUUCAUGGCUGGCGGCCGGCGCGGCGGUUCUUCGAUGCGGCCCAAGGACGGCCGCCGCAGCGGAGCUCCUCCGGUAGCGCGGCAGCUGGAGAUGCCCUCAGGUUAGCUCCCAACUCCGACCAUCGCCACCCCCUCCUCCACCACCUCACCGCCCCUUUCCCAGACUUGGGACGAACCCUAGGAGGCGUGGCUCGGUGGUUGCGUCCUUGCUUGCCGGCGCUGCCGCCUGUCGUCAUGCCUACCCAGCCGGUCAUCUCCCUCCCCGGGCAGCCCCCCGAGCCCCUUUCGGCCCCCUUCUACGGCAGCAGGUUGCGCCGCUGUGGGCUGCUGCCAUGUCCAAUCUAUGGAAGUCGUAAGUACUUGAGAGUCCCGAGUGGUAGGGCCGAGUCGUCCGCCUCCCAUCAGGCCACUUCCGAGGACGAGUCAUCUGCCUCCUAUCAGGCCACUCCCGAGGACGAGUCAUCAUCGGAUGGCGAUGUCGGAGUGGACUUAGAUGAACGAGAUCCGCUCGUUACCAAGUCGGGCGACAUGGAGACCUCGAACGGCUCGGGGUCUACCUCGAGCAACACUUCCAAGAGGAAGAAAUCCGGGCGUGGUCCGGGGAAGGUCCCGGAACCAACUGCUGCCAACAACCGUCCUGUAAUUUGCCCGACAGGAGAGGGUCAGUGUACAUUUAUCCCGACACAACCUAAGGGGGCACGCCCGCCGAACCACGUCAUCGGCUCCCUCUUGAGGAAGCACUUCCGUGGAUUGUCCAAGAUGGGUGAUGACGAUCCGCCAUCGCCAGGCUUAACCUGGGAGCAUUACCUGCAGAACAAGGACGAGCACGAUGUCACCAUGGCCACCCGGGUCAUCAAUGCUUUUUUGAAACAUUUGCUUGCGUGGAUGGUGAAGGAACCCUGGAUGAAGGAGGAUUGUUGGGAGGCCCUGGUUGACAUGUGGUGUGACCCAGCAUGGCAGGUGCAUCAUGUGGAGAAGGGAAACAAUCGAGCCAAAAUGACAUGCCCAGCUCAUGUCCAGGGGAGCCGGAACCUAAUCGCUCUCAAGCAACACAUGAUAUGUGGAUUAAGAUGUUCACUUUUUCACACGGUGCAUCUUGGUUCAUUAAACUUGAUGGGGAAGGAUGGCACCGAGUUCUGCAGCGAGCCGGCGGAGGAGAAGUGGGGGAACUUCAAAGAGGUCUUCCAGGAGGUGCACGGGCAGGAAGCCGAACCUACGUCCAAGCCCCUUGAUCCUGAGCUUCUCAUCAUUGCUGGCGAGGGGAAGGGCCAUGGCCGCCACCUCCUUUGCAACGGGGCGAUCACCACCUACUCGCAUCGCAAGCUGCAUGAGAUACGCGCGUAUAGCACCAGCUCAACUCCGUCCAUACGGAGUCGCCCAACCGCCGCAUCACGUGAGAUAGCGCAUCUCAAGGAUUUAAUGACGCAGCGGGCUGUUGAAGAGGAGCAAAGGCGGAAGGCUGAGGAGGAGUCCAGAGAAAAGGAACGGGCAGACACUAACAAUUGGUUGAAGAUGCUUGAGGAUCAACUACAGUUCUUAUGCAAUCUCGAAGCAGUGCAAGUGAUGCCCCUCCUCCUCCUCCGGAAUGUUAACCUGAUGGCCUCUCCUCCUCAAGAUGAUCUAUAUAUGAACAAGUGUACUUCUAUUGUGACGUGCACGUGUUUUGCAAGUAGUGACAAUAUGGAUCAGAAAAGAAAUAGCUUAACAGCAGAAUGGAUGGGAAAGAUUUUCGAGAGCAACACUCGGAAAAAGAGGUACUACCGAGAGCACCUCUCGAAAAUUUGGUCGUCUGGGAGACACUACCGCUGUGCCACACCUUUUCCGGGGGCAGCUCUCGGAAAUGAAUAUACUACCGAGAGCACCUCUCGGAAAUCUGGUCGUCUGGGAGACACUACUGCUGUGCCACACCUUUUCCGAGUGCAGCUCUCAAAAAUGAAGGCGAGCAUUGCCGAGACAAGCUCUCGGCAAAGUUAUGUAAAGAACGCAGUAACUGACGGAGCCGUCUGUUGCGGACGGACAUGCCACGUGGCUCCUCUUUGCCGUGAGCUGCUCUCUGCACGGUUUGCCGUGCGAUGCCUCUUUGCCGUGGGCAGUGACGGCAAAGAAGGCAGUUUGCCGUGA